rnacentral:lncRNA from 1 species
ACAUCUCAUCUUAACAUUAUGUACUUAUACAAUCAUAUUUAUAUAAGCUUACACUACAAAAAAUAUUGUUGUGUAAAAUCGUGUUAUAAAACAUUUUUAUUGUUAAAUCUUUAUGCAAAUACUAUAUAUAUUAUCAAAGGUUUGGAUUUUGCAUUUAGAAACUUGAAAAUAACACCCUAAACACUAAGUCGUCGGAAUUCCGUCGGAAAAUACCGACGGAAUGUGUCCGUCGGAAAAUACUGACGGACACGUUCCGUCGGAAUUUCAAUUAGCCCGGGAGAACCAAACCGCUUGAAAAUUUUCGCGAAUCGGCAUUUGGUAUAUUUUAAAUAUACCGACGGAAUACCGACGAACCCGUGUCCGUCGGAAUCCGCGGAAAUAAAAACCCUUCUCCUUUCUUCUUCGUUAUCUCCGCGGCCUCUCCCUCUCUCAAGAUCCUCUCCGGCGAUUUCGGCGAUUCCGGCGACUCUCCGGCGAUUCCGGCCUCUCUUCACCGGCGAAUCCUCUCCUCACCCUCCUAUCUCUUCCCCAAACCCCAAAUCAUGUAAGAAUCAUCCCAAACCUUUUUUUUUUUCAAUUGUUUAGGGUUUUGGAAGUUGAUCUCGGAUUUUAGGUUGUUUGAUUGAAAAUUUUAGGAUUGAAUGGAUAGUUUAGGAUAUAUAAGUUAGGAUUGUUGUUUUAGUUUUUUU